GGGAUACUUGAGUGCAGGAGAGGAAAGCGGAAUUCCUAGUGUAGCGGUGAAAUGCGUAGAUAUUAGGAGGAACACCAGUGGCGAAGGCGGCUUACUGGACUGUAACUGACGUUGAGGCACGAAAGUGUGGGGAGCAAACAGGAUUAGAUACCCUGGUAGUCCACACCGUAAACGAUGAGCACUAGGUGUCGGGGGCGCAAGUCCUCGGUGCCGGAGUUAACGCAUUAAGUGCUCCGCCUGGGGAGUACGUACGCAAGUAUGAAACUCAAAGGAAUUGACGGGGACCCGCACAAGCAGCGGAGCAUGUGGUUUAAUUCGAAGCAACGCGAAGAACCUUACCAGGGCUUGACAUCCCUCUGACAGGACUUUAAUCGGUUCCUUCUUCGGACAGAGGAGACAGGUGGUGCAUGGUUGUCGUCAGCUCGUGUCGUGAGAUGUUGGGUUAAGUCCCGCAACGAGCGCAACCCUUGUCAUUAGUUGCCAGCAGUAAGAUGGGCACUCUAAUGAGACUGCCGGGGAUAACUCGGAGGAAGGUGGGGAUGACGUCAAAUCAUCAUGCCCCUUAUGUUCUGGGCUACACACGUGCUACAAUGGUCGGUACAAAGAGCAGCGAGGCCGUGAGGCGGAGCAAAUCUCAAAAGCCGAUCCCAGUUCGGAUUGUAGGCUGCAACUCGCCUACAUGAAGUCGGAAUUGCUAGUAAUCGCAGAUCAGAAUGCUGCGGUGAAUGCGUUCCCGGGUCUUGUACACACCGCCCGUCACACCACGGAAGUUGGGGGUGCCCAAAGUUGGUCAAGAAAUAGAUUACCUAAGGCAAAACCGAUGACUGGGGUGAAGUCGUAACAAGGUAGCCG
rnacentral:rRNA from 1 species